rfam:Anas platyrhynchos breed Pekin duck contig23331, whole genome shotgun sequence.
CCAAAGGCUCUUUUCAGAGCCACCAACAGGUCCAGAAAAAGAGCUG